rnacentral:rRNA from 1 species
GCUUACGGCCAUACCACCCUGGGCGUGACCGAUUUUGUUUGAUCUCGGAAGCCAAGCAGGGUCGGGCCUGGUUAGUACUUGGAUGGGAGACCGCCUGGGAAUACCAGGUGCUGUAAGCU